AUAACUGAAAACAUAAAGAAACCCCCUACUAGAGCCCUCAUCAACUCUAGCCGGGUCAACAUAACAUACAUCAAGCUGGGAUCACAUCCAAAGAGCUAGAACCUAACCUGUGCAUGCAUCAAACCACAAACAUAAGACCUCCACUAGGGUCCUCAUCAAACACUAGCGUGGUAAACAACACAUGCCACCAGUUUAGUCCAAACAC
rnacentral:lncRNA from 1 species